AGCUGGUGCAGCCGGUGCAGCCGCAGCAGGAGCAGCUGCAGCUGGUGGAGCUGGUGCAGCCGGUGCAGCCGCAGCUGGUGGAGCCGGAGCAGGAGCCGCUGGUGCCGCUGCUGGCGGUGCAGCCGGAGC